rnacentral:rRNA from 1 species
GUCUACGGCCAUACCACCCUGAACGCGCCCUAUCUCAUCUGAUCUCGGAAGCUAAGCAGGGUCGGGCCUGGUUAGUACUUGGCUGGGAGAGAGAGAGAAAAUGAGAGACCUGCACU